GGGCUCUGCCCCCGGCACGGCCAUCGGCCACGGCUGGAGAUAGCCUGGGGACCCCUACCAGCCCCACGACGGCCCCAAGUGCAGGGAUGGAGGAGGGCGUCCGGACAGAGAGAAGGGACGAAUGGCAGGGCGUUUGUCCUGAGCAGCCAAAGCGCAAGAAUUCAUGAAAGCUGAGCAAAUUAAAGAUGAGUCUUUAAAGAUAACACAAAAAGUUCCCAGCCAAGAUGGACGAAUAGGAACAACUCUGGUCUGCAGUUCCCAGUGAGACCAAUGCAGAAGGAGGAGGAUGAAGCUCAGAAAGUUCAGUUGACCUGAGAAAAGUCACACAGACAGUGACUAGCAAAACUGCAAGCGGACUAAUACUUACCUGAUUCGAAGUCUCCUGAUGGUUUUGCUAUGCCUCCACGUGUCACAGAAUCUCAAGGCAGAAGAAUUUUUCUUAGUACAUAACAAAAUGGAGUCUCCUAUGUCUACUUCUUUCUACACAG
rnacentral:lncRNA from 1 species